rnacentral:rRNA from 1 species
GGGCCCGCACAAGCGGUGGAGCAUGUGGUUUAAUUCGAUGAUACGCGAGGAACCUUACCAGGGCUUAAAUGUAAGUUGCAUUAGUUAGAGAUAGCUAUUUCUUCGGACUACUUACAAGGUGCUGCAUGGUUGUCGUCAGCUCGUGCCGUGAGGUGUCAGGUUAAGUCCUAUAACGAGCGCAACCCCUGUUGUUAGUUGCCAUCGAGUCAUGUCGGGAACUCUAACAAGACUGCCGGUGCAAACCGUGAGGAAGGUGGGGAUGACGUCAAAUCAUCACGGCCCUUACGUCCUGGCUACACACGUGCUACAAUGGCCGGUACAGAGGGAAGCCACCCCGCGAGGGGGAGCG